UACGUAGGGUGCAAGCGUUAUCCGGAAUUAUUGGGCGUAAAGAGCUCGUAGGCGGUUUGUCGCGUCUGCUGUGAAAACUGGGGGCUCAACCCCCAGCCUGCAGUGGGUACGGGCAGACUAGAGUGCGGUAGGGGAGAUUGGAAUUCCUGGUGUAGCGGUGAAAUGCGCAGAUAUCGGGAGGAACACCGGUGGCGAAGGCGGUUCUCUGGGCCUGUACUGACGCUGGAGGAGCGAAAGCGUGGGGAGCGAACAGG
rnacentral:rRNA from 1 species